AGGAUGAACGCUGGCGGCGUGCCUAACACAUGCAAGUCGAACGUCCUGUCUCGCAAGAGGCAGGGAGUGGCGGACGGGUGAGUACCACGUGGGUCAUCUACCGUGAGGUGAGGAAUACCGGCGAGAAAUCGCCGACAAGACCGCAUAGGCUCGAUGCAAGUCGAGCAAAGCUCUCUCGAGAGAGGGAGCGCCACACGAGGAGCCUGCGCCCGAUUAGCUAGCUGGUGGAGUAAUGGUUCACCAGGGCGACGAUCGGUAGCUGGUCUGAGAGGACGAUCAGCCACACUGGGAUUGAGAACGGCCCAGACUCCUACGGGGGCAGCAGUGAGGAAUUUCGUCAAUGGGGGCAACCCUGAACGAGCAACGCCGCGUGCAGGAAGAAGGUUUUCGGAUCGUAAACUGCUUUUCUCGGGAAGAGAACGGACGGUACCCGAGGAAUCGAGCCCCGGCUAACUACGUGCCAGCAGCCGC
rnacentral:rRNA from 1 species